GCGCCCCUAGCUCAGCUGGAUAGAGCGUGCCCCUCCUAAGGGCGAGGUCGCAGGUUCGAAUCCUGCGGGGCGCACCA
rnacentral:tRNA from 1 species